rnacentral:rRNA from 1 species
CAGCCGCCGCGGUAAUACGAAGGGUGCAAGCGUUACUCGGAAUUACUGGGCGUAAAGCUCGCGUAGGCGGCUUUUUAAGUCAGAGGUGAAAGCCCGGGGCUCAACCCCGGAAUUGCCUUUGAAACUGGAAAGCUAGAAUCUUGGAGAGGUCAGUGGAAUUCCGAGUGUAGAGGUGAAAUUCGUAGGUAUUCGGAAGAACACCAGUGGCGAAGGCGACUGACUGGACAAGUAUUGACGCUGAGGUGCGAAAGCGUGGGGAGCAAACAGGAUUAGAUACCCGCGUAGUCCCUGUCUCUUAUAC